rnacentral:tRNA from 1 species
GGAGGCGUUCCUCGUCUGGUGACGGGCCCGGUCUUCAACACCGUGGUGAUCGAGCAUCUCGGUCAGGCGGGUUCGAUUCCCGUCCGCCUCCG